rnacentral:piRNA from 1 species
GUCAAGGAGAGGGCAGAAGCUAAG